UUGAUUUUAAUUAUUUGUGAACGGUACUACUAAUAACAAACAAUACAUAUCAUAGUCAAAAAAAAUAAUCA
rnacentral:misc_RNA from 1 species